GAUGAACGCUGGGCGGCGUGCUUAACACAUGCAAGUCGAACGAAGCGCUUAAGUUGAUUUCUUCGGAUUGAUUCUUGAGUGACUGAGUGGCGGACGGGUGAGUAACGCGUGGGUAACCUGCCUCAUACAGGGGGAUAACAGUCAGAAAUGGCUGCUAAUACCGCAUAAGCGCACAGUACCGCAUGGUACAGUGUGAAAAACUCCGGUGGUAUGAGAUGGACCCGCGUCUGAUUAGCUGGUUGGUGGGGUAACGGCCCACCAAGGCGACGAUCAGUAGCCGACCUGAGAGGGUGACCGGCCACAUUGGGACUGAGACACGGCCCAA
rnacentral:rRNA from 1 species